UACGUAGGGGGCAAGCGUUGUCCGGAUUUAUUGGGCGUAAAGCGCUCGCAGGCGGCUUGAUGCGUCGUGCGUGAAACACCCCGGCUCAACUGGGAGGGUCGUGGCGAUACGGUCAGGCUUGAGGCCAGUAGGGGGACGCGGAAUUCCGGGUGUAGUGGUGGAAUGCGUAGAGAUCCGGAGGAACACCAGCGGCGAAGGCGAGCCC
rnacentral:rRNA from 1 species